UACGGAGGGUGCAAGCGUUGUCCGGAAUCACUGGGCGUAAAGGGCGCGUAGGCGGCUCAUGAAGGCUGUGGUGAAAGUCCGGGGCUCAACCUCGGAUCGGCCGUGGCGACUCGUGGGCUGGAGCGUAUCAGAGGCGGGCGGAAUUCCGGGUGUAGCGGUGGAAUGCGUAGAGAUCCGGAAGAACACCGGUGGCGAAGGCGGCCCGCUGGGAUACUUGCUGACGCUGAGGCGCGACAGCGUGGGGAGCAAACGAGG
rnacentral:rRNA from 1 species